GUUUUUGCUGCGUCACAGGGAGACAGAAGAUGGGCUGCUAUUUCGUCGGCUAAAUGCUAUCAUUUUAAGCACCGUUCCAAAGAAAACAGGGAUCUUGCCAGAGGAAAAUAACAUAUACCAUAAAGGAAAAAGAAAUGUGCAUCAAGGCAAAUAAACAGCUCUCUACUAAGGGCCUAGGAUCUUGCUAGACGAGUCAUUUCUCUGGUUGAAAAGCAGUUGAGAAAGGCAAGACAAGGGGGGCGGGGGCCCAGCAGGGCACCUCUGAGCCCUUCCUGCUGCUCUUCAAAGACAGACGCAUUUUCCUUUCUACGGUCUCCUUGCAAGUCUUCUGUAGGCCCUGCCACCUUCAGGCUGACUGACUGCCUCCUUCAAAUAUCAGCAUUUGCUCAGCAGAGCUUUGUGCUGGUGGACAGAUGGAUGUGCUGGAAGGAGACCCCUGCUGACCCCUGCUGACUCCAUGACAGAGGGAUGGAAAUUCUGCCCCUCCCAGACCUCACCCUAUGCGUUCUGUUUCCUUUAUAAUGAAAGCACAAUUAGAGGAAGGGUACUGGGGAGUCGACACCCUCAUGUCUGUGAGCUGACUGCAGGACGUCUCCUGUCCAGGUGCUGGCACCUCAUCUAACAUUUGAAGGCUCAGAAGAAAAGCCACGUCUGCCUACACAAUCUCACAAUCCGGCUUCAGCAAAGCAUGAGUUAAUUCAACUUCAUACUCGUGAACGUGAAGCGGGGGUUGGAAGGAAUGAAGGCUGCAGGACACCCAUGUACCAAGAAAAAGAAAGACAAAUUGGUUGUUUUAUCUACUUUACAUCAUGAUGGAGUCCUAAAAAGGGCCCCAUGAAGGCAGGCAGCCCAGGGAGGAAUGACUGGACGGUGACAUUGUGCAGGGGGUCUGGAAGUUGCCAGCGCAGGGGUUAGCAGCUGCAGCCUGGCCUGGUCCUGUCUGCCUGGCUGUCAAACCCAGAAGACCGUGGUUUCUGGUGGCCUCUGUGUGACAGCGGAGGAGGUGGGGCGAGGCCUGGAAGUGAAGCAUCUCGUGAGCCACUUAAGUGUUUAUGAAGCUCGCUAAUGUGCUUAAAUGAACGAGAAGCAGGUACUUGCUCCCAGGACCAGAGCCACCAAAGCAAUUUCCUCUGCAGCCCCUCAUACUUCGCACACUGGAAGCUUGCAUUCUUUCCCAGAGGACAGCCGGAUUACAGCACCGCCUCUAAUGCAACCCGAUCUGGUUUCUUUGAGCGCCGCGGUGAACGUGCAAUCUAUCUCAUAAAUGCAUCGCAGUGUUCCACAAAUCACCCACGUUCAUCCCUUGAGACGUCUUUAACUCGGGGCUUAGAGUUGCAAAUGAAUUCUCCUAUGGAUCUAUUAUUCCAUCAAAUAGCGGAGAGAGGGGACUAGCUUGUGCAGAGCCUUCAUAGAGCUGGGCUAAAUUCGAUUAUGCAAAGUCUAACGAGCACCAUUCAGCAAAACCAUGGUGGGUGUGAGCUGCAGGCCAGCCCCUCCACUGGGCCAUUAUCCAGGGGUAAACACCACUCGUGGGUUAGUUCCACGAGUUACUGGCUGAUUUGACCUGUGAUACUCCAAGGUGGAAGUAACCAAAUAAUAUGUAUCAUGAGCCCCAAGAACGAAGCCAGUGGAGAGUGGUACAUGCUAGAGGGUAACGCCUGGCCCUUUGCAGGACAGCACGUCAGCCAUGCGCCAUGGGACGAUGGUGGUGGCUGGGACACAGGAGGCCACGGCAGGAAAUGGGCAGGUGGGUGGGUCUAUGUAAGCUGGCUUUAGACUUCAAUCCACAAGCAUUUGCAGCUCAACUACUCAGCGUCUUAUCUUAUUUAAUCCUUUCAGCAAUAAACACUCUUUUCACAUGUAGUAAGGUUAAGGAGUCUACAUCACACCCUUUAUCAUUAUUAAUAAAGGGACACACCCUCCAGGGAUCCUAGGGAACCUCCUACCCACCCUGUGGUCACUCUAGGGAAAGGAAAGCUCUCAGGGACCGACGGGAGCCUGGGCACAUGCGCCACCACUCUCUCCUUUAUCCCCUCUAGCCCGGCUUGCUGGCUCUCACUUUCUUUUGUGCACUAGAACUCACGUACAAGUUGCACACCCAAACCCUUGCAUGCUGCAUUUCAGAGUCAACUUCAGUGAUUUUUGAGAGUGAUUUUGACAAUCCCAGUCAAAAUUCUAGCAGGUUUUUUUUUUUUACAUGACAAGUGGAUUCUAAAAUUCAUAGGAAAAUGCAAAUGACCUAGAAGAGCCAAAGCAAUUUUGGAAGGAGUAAAGUCGAAUGGCUGACGCUACCAGAUUUCAAGAUUCACUUGAAACGCACAGGAAUCAAGACAGGGUGGUGUCGACAGAAGGAAGGCGUCAGAGCAGGGUGACAGGAGGCAGGGCCACACACAGACGGCUGAUUGAUACCCGACAAAACCGCCGAGGUAAUUUCACAGGGAAAGGAACUCUUUUGAACAAAUGGUGCACCAACAAUUGGAUAACCAUACGGAAAAAAUUUAAAAAACAGAAGAACAUUGACCCUUCACGCACAUCAAACAUAAAUUAACUCAGAAUCCAUCAUAGGCUGGGUGUUGUGGCUCAUGCCUUUAAUCCUAGCACUUUGGGAGGCCAAGGCAGGCGGAUCACCUGAGGUCAGG
rnacentral:lncRNA from 1 species